AUAAUCAUCAUGGCUUUGGUGUGGCUGCAAGCAGCAGUUGUUGACGGGUGCACUCAGAACGACCAAAAGUGUAUUAUUUCAGGAGGGUGUUGCAGUAAUUCGCUAUGCGUGUACGUUCCUAAUGUGGGUAAUAGAUGCAGGGACAAAGGGGACAUCUGCUGGACAGGGCCUGGAGGUUACCAGAAAUGUCCAUAGCCUAUAUCGGUUUAUAAAAUUGGGGGCUAGAAUUGACGAGGACUUCAAAGUGUUUCAGGGAUACAAGCUGUCACGACAACGCUUAAAUGUCGAGUGGAUUGUCCCAAAAAAUUCUGAAACUAUAAAUAUUGUUCUACAUAUGAUUGAUCAGUAAACUGAAAUUUACUCAUUCUAUCUUUGCUUUGUGUAUUGUAUCAACCAAUGUCCUUGCAAAGUAAAAUAGGUGUGAGUCAUGUGUGUGGGUGUUUUAAAAGUGUCUGGAGUCUUUUUCUCUCUCUCUCUCUCACACUCACUAACUGACGUACACAUGU